GACGAACGCUGGCGGCGUGCUUAACACAUGCAAGUCGAACGGAAAGGCCCUGCUUUUGUGGGGUGCUCGAGUGGCGCACGGGUGAGUAACACGUGAGUAACCUGCCCUUGACUUUGGGAUAACUUCAGGAAACUGGGGCUAUUACCGGAUAUGAUCUUCUGCUGCAUGGUGGGGGUUGGAAAGUUUCGGCGGUUGUGGAUGGACUCGCGGCUUAUCAGCUUGUUGGUGGGGUAGUUGCUUACCAAGGCUUUGACGGGUAGCCUGCCUGAGAGGGUGACCGGCCACAUUGGGACUGAGAUACGGCCCAGAAUCCUACGGGAGGCAGCGGUGGGGAAUAUUGCACAAUGGGCGGAAGCCUGAUGCAGCAACGCCGCGUGCGGAAUGACGGCCUUCGGGUUGUAAACCGCUUUCGCCUGUGACGAAGCGUGAGUGACGGUAAUGAGUAAAGAAGCACCGGCUAACUACGUG
rnacentral:rRNA from 1 species